rnacentral:rRNA from 1 species
UAGGGAAUCUUCGGCAAUGGACGAAAGUCUGACCGAGCAACGCCGCGUGAGUGAAGAAGGUUUUCGGAUCGUAAAACUCUGUUGUUAGAGAAGAACAAGGACGUUAGUAACUGAACGUCCCCUGACGGUAUCUAACCAGAAAGCCACGGCUAACUACGUGCCAGCAGCCGCGGUAAUACGUAGGUGGCAAGCGUUGUCCGGAUUUAUUGGGCGUAAAGCGAGCGCGGGCGGUUUCUUAAGUCUGAUGUGAGAGCCCCCGGCUCAACCGGGGAGGGUCAUUGGAAACUGGGAGACUGGAUUGCGGAAGAGGAGAGUGGAAUUCCAGGUGUAGCGGUGAAAUGCGUAAAUAUAUGGAGGAACACCAGUGGCGAAGGCGGCUCUCUGGUCUGUACCUGACGCUGAGGCUCGAAAGCGUGGGGAGCAAACAGG